rnacentral:rRNA from 1 species
GAUGAACGCUGGCGGCGUGCCUAAUACAUGCAAGUCGAACGAAACUUCUUUAUCACCGAGUGCUUGCACUCACCGAUAAAGAGUUGAGUGGCGAACGGGUGAGUAACACGUGGGCAACCUGCCCAAAAGAGGGGGAUAACACUUGGAAACAGGUGCUAAUACCGCAUAACCAUAGUUACCGCAUGGUAACUCUGUAAAAGGUGGCUAUACUACCGCUUUUGGAUGGGCACGCGGCGCAUUAGCUAGUUGGUAGGGUAAAGGCUUACCAAGGCAAUGAUGCGUAGCCGAAUUGAGAGGUUGAUCAGCCACAGUGGGACUGAGACACGGCCCAGACUCCUACGGGAGGCAGCAGUAGGGAAUCUUCCACAAUGGGCGAAAGCCUGAUGGAGCAACGCCGCGUGGGUGAAGAAGGUCUUCGGAUCGUAAAGCCCUGUUGUUAGGGAGGAAAGGGCGUGAGAGAAACUGUUCACGUUUCGACGGUAUCUAACCAAAAAGCCACGGCUAACUACGUG